rnacentral:misc_RNA from 1 species
AGUGGUCAACGUGUCUAAUUAUGAAGUUUAUUCUCGGUUCUUGUUUGAAUUCUCUAUGAGUCACCUAAUGAUUAGUUGAGGAGGUCACCAUAUGCUAAAGAAAAAUGGAAAUUUUUAUUAUGCCUUAAAUUUACCGGUAUACUGUGGAAAAAAAACAAGUUGAAUGUGGGGAAUUCCCACAUCUUGCAAAGAAAAAUUGAAGGUCAUAUAAAGUCCAAGUCAACCAAGCCGAAGUGGCUUGUGCCAUUUUGGAGUUGUGCCAAGUCCAAUCCAAUCGCAGUUGUCGGCCUGUUUGUGUUCCGACUUCCCUAGCCCGAGGAUAGCGAAUGAGCCAAAAAAAUACCCGAACCAAGAAAAUGGAUCAGCAAUCACCCCAUGCACAAAUUCAUGUAUUAGCCAACCUUAGAGACCAAGGAGCCGAAUUUUUUUUUUUUUUCCUUAGCAUGGAAAUUUCAGUCUGACGAUGGAAUGGAGAAUGAGAUAGUGGAGAAGCUAGCAGGGAUCUCCUCAUAAAGACCCAACGCUCUCUCCAAAUUAGCAACAAUAUCAACAAUAUCAGGCCUCUUCUUUCCUUCCAAGCUUACACAAUGCAUUGCUGUGUAGGCCAUCAACUCCACGGCUUCGGCCUCAUGCAUCUCUGGUGGCCCCACCCUUUUAUCCAACACCUUUUGCAUUUCCCCUGAUAAUAUCAGUGGUGAUACAUACUCCACAAGUCCCAUUGGCCCUGCACCUUCUUCAGUCUUGAACACUGCUCUCUUUCCAGUCAAAAGCUCUAAUAACACAACACCUAGACCAUAAACAUCACUUUUGGCUGUUAGCACAUUUAAUACAUAAUACUCAGGAUCAAUAUAUCCUACUGUUCCAACUGCCUUGGUUGACAUGAAUUCUUGAUCAGAUUCUGGCCCCAUUAAUGAUAACCCAAAAUCGGAUACUCUAGCACUCCAAUUUGCAUCUAGAAGUAUGUUUGAGGACUUGAUAUCUCUGUGAAUUAUAGGUGGCACCGCAUAGUUGUGGAGAUAGUUGAUUCCCGUGGCAGCGUCCAAUGCAAUUUUGAUCCUCAUUUUCCAGGAAUUCAAAAUGCUGCUACUCUUUUCAACAUUGUUGUUGUUAUGUAAAUGACUAUGAAGAGAUCCAUUGCUCAUGUACUCAUAAACCAACAGCCUCUCAUCCUUUUCUUCACAGAAACCUACUAGUUCCACUAAAUGCUUAUGGUGAAGCCGAGAUAACAAUGCUAGUUCUGAAUCAAACGCACUUUCUUUCUCUUGGAAUUUCUUUGUCUUCGUACCAGUUUCCCCUCUCUUAAUAGCCACUUCAAAACCAUUGGCAAGUUUGCCUUUGUAAACGAUGCCAAAGCUCCCAGCACCAAUCUUGUUUUCCGAUGAGAAAUUGUUUGUAGCAGCAACAAGCUCUGAUAGGAAAAAUUUCUGAGUCUUGUCUGUACGCUUAGAAGAUGAUCCACUUCUCUGGCGCCCCAAUCUUCUCGAGCUUUGAUGCCUAACAGAAUAUGAUCUUAAAGAUGGGGUAGUAGAACCAUUGUUAGUCAUAGCAGCAGCAUUCACUUUCAGGUUGGGAUUGAUAAUUGAGGGCUGCACAGAAUUAUGAUGUAAAAAUCUGCGUAAACAAUAAAUAAUAGUGCAGAUGCCUGCAAAGGCACCAACAGAUCCGACAAUCGCAAAAGCCAAAGAAAGCUUAUUUUUGGCCCUUGAUGGAGAAAGUGGUUGUACUUGCUGAGAUGGUGGUGUUAUUCUCGGAGGCAAGGGCACGGCAAUUGGAAGAUCAAUCUGGCAUGAUUUACAGAUAUUCCCAGACCCAUCACACAAAACCUCAGAGUCUGGAUACACACCGCAUGUGCCACAAGAAGACUGAACACAAGAACCUGGAAUCAUAAUUCCCAGUGGAAGCUCAUUUCCAUGAUGAAGCACAUUAGACCAUCCCAGACCCCAACAAAUAAUCGAUAAAUUCCCCGUUGUAAGCCCACAUGUGAAAUCCAAACCAGCAACAAUCAACUCAAAGGGAACGCUUUCCAAUAUUUUGCUAUUAAGUCGGAGUUUAUUUGUCCCACCCCAGCAUGCUCCUAAUCCGUUGCUUUGCUUAAUAGCACAGCUAAAAUCUGAUCCUAGAGCAAUACCUGAAAACGCAAAAGCCGAACUAAAAGGAACAUCCAAUUGCCCUGACCCGUUGCUUCCUUUACACACCAGAAAUCCACUGGCAUUCAAUCCACAAGCAUGAGACUCUCCAGCAACCAAGUUUAACAUCUUUAAAUUCGCAAACUGUCUUUGAAUCGCAGCUCCAACAUCAUUAUUACCCCAACAAUAAACUCUACUGUUGUUCCUCAAAAUUCCACACGUAAAGCCACUCCCAGAUGUGAGUGUACUAAACUUUAGAGCCACCGCAGGCAAUGGAAAAGGAGAUCUACCUCUGCCUUUGCCUCUCCAACACUUAGCUAUGCCAGAGUUGACCUCUCUUGCGCAAACCUGAUCAUCUCCAACGGUUAGAUCAGUUAGCUGAAUGUUGUUACUGUGGUAGAUGCGCUUGGGUUGAAAGCUUGAGUUUGUUGUAGCUACGGUCUCCCAGCAGAAAACACUGAAGCCUCCAGAGCGGAGGCCACAGAAGAAGGUCUGUCCUCCAGAUAUAGAUUCAAAGGAAACACUGGGCUGGAUAGAGAUCACAUGGCCAUUUUGAUAGCAUUGGAUUCUUUGGAUGGGCUCACCGGCAAUGAUACCGCAGACAGUAGCAGUGCUAUAGGUGACAGCGAUGGUGGAGGCAGAGCCAAGGCCGUCUACCACAGUAGCAGUGUAGAGCAGAGAGGUAAUAGCAGUGAUGAUAAAGACAAUGGUGAGAUAGGAAGGGUUGUGUGUCAUUUGAAAGAUUGGAAUGGGGCACCUCUCUUCUUCAUUGAAA